rnacentral:rRNA from 1 species
CUACCGGGGUAUCUAAUCCGGUUCGCUCCCCACGCUUUCGUGCCUCAGUGUCAGAAAUAGCCCAGUAACCUGCCUACGCCAUUGGUGUUCCUUCGUAUAUCUACGGAUUUCACUCCUACACACGAAAUUCCAGUUACCUCUGCUACUCUCGAGUCCGUGAGUUCGAAUAAUAGUCUGUAAGGUUGAGCCUCCAGAUUUCACUACUCGCUUUACGAACCACCUACGCAACUCUUUACGCCCAGUCACUCCGGAUAACGCUCGGAUCCUACGUAUUACCGCGGCUGCUGGCAC